rnacentral:rRNA from 1 species
CCUACGGGAGACAGCAGUGAGGAAUAUUGGUCAAUGGACGCAAGUCUGAACCAGCCAUGCCGCGUGCAGGAAGACGGCUCUAUGAGUUGUAAACUGCUUUUGUACGAGGGUAAACGCAGAUACGCGUAUCUUUCUGAAAGUAUCUUACGAAUAAGGAUCGGCUAACUCCGUGCCAGCAGCCGCGGUAAUACGGAGGAUUCAAGCGUUAUCCGGAUUUAUUGGGUUUAAAGGGUGCGUAGGCGGGCGGAUAAGUUAGAGGUGAAAUCCCGGGGCUCAACUUCGGAAUUGCCUCUGAUACUGUUCGGCUAGAGAGUAGUUGCGGUAGGCGGAAUGUAUGGUGUAGCGGUGAAAUGCUUAGAGAUCAUACAGAAUACCGAUUGCGAAGGCAGCUUACCAAGCUACUUCUGACGUUGAGGCACGAAAGCGUGGGGAGCAAACAGGAUUAGAUACCCCAGUAGUC